GGAUGUGAGGGCGAUCUGGCUGCGACAUCUGUCACCCCAUUGAUCGCCAGGGUUGAUUCGGCUGACCUGGCUGGCUAGGCGGGUGUCCCCUUCCUCCCUCACCGCUCCAUGUGUGUCCCUCCCGAAGCUGCGCGCUCGGUGGAAGAGGACGACCAUCCCAGAUAGAAGGAGUGUACCGUUCUUCGGUCAAGGGUAUACGAUAGCUGCGCUCCCCUGCUAGAACCUCCAAACAAGCUCAAGAAUGGACCUCCGGAACGAAUUAAGUACUUAACCCGAGGUACCACUGUAUUGCAGGGGUUUGGACUAGAUGACCCUCAAGGUCUCU